rnacentral:rRNA from 1 species
GAGUGAACUGGGACAAGUCCAGCGCAUAAUCCCGGUGCCUCUGGCAUCGGGAGGUGUUGCGUACAGGCCGUGAGCUUGGGUUGGUCGGAUCGUUCAAGUUUCCCUUGACUGGGGCUCCAAAGAAGGUGCAAGACCUGUUCAACGAUCUGGUUCAGCCAGCCCAUUUUCGCGCGCUUUAGAGUCGGGUUGUUUGGGAUCGCAGCCCCAAGUAGGUGGUAAACUUCAUCUAAGACUGAAUAUGACUACGAGACCGAUAGCGAACAAGUACCGUGAGGGAAAGUUGCAAAGCACUUUGAAGAGAGAGUUAAAUAGGACGUGAAACCGGUGAGGUGGAAACGGAUAGAGCCAGCGUAUCUGUUCCUGCAUUCAUCUACGUGGUAGUCGCGCGCCCCAGCUCUGGCGACUCCAGAUUGGGACGGAGUUGGGGUUGUACACCGCCCGUGGUGCAUUUGCAGGCGUGUGCGCUGAGCUGUUCGAGGUGUUGGGAUGAACUUGGUUUUGAGGCCAGCUUGCUGGUACCCGGACCGGGGGAGUGCCAUUCGCCUUGGGCUUUAUGUUGGAUAUGGCUUACGGGCUCGUAUGGGCGCCGAGCUGGUCGUCGGCGGCGGUCGCAUGCGACACGUGCUGUGCGUGCCAGUUCGGUCCUGUGCGAGCUCACAUGUCCCAGGCUCAGUGUAAGAGCUGGUCAUCUAUCCGACCCGUCUUGAAACACGGACCAAGGAGUUUAUCGUGUGCGCAAGUCAUUGGGUGUUGAAAACCCAGAGGCGCAAUGAAAGUGAAGGCAUCCCUCGCGGAGCCGACGUGCGAGCACGGGC